AAGGUCUUGUGUUCACUAUCUCAUGGAACCAAAAGAUUAGUUAAGCCUCUAUAUAAUUAUUGUGUCAUAUAUUAGUUAAGUGUCUCAAGUGAUUAUUAAUAUAUUGUGCUAUAUAUUAAUAAUUAUUGUAAUUGCAAAGGUCUUGUGUUCCUCGAUAUUAAUCAGAGAGAGUCUCAAAUGAUUAGUUAAGCGUCUGAAAAUUAUUU
rnacentral:lncRNA from 1 species